rnacentral:rRNA from 1 species
AUACGAAGGGGGCUAGCGUUGUUCGGAAUUACUGGGCGUAAAGCGCACGUAGGCGGUUUUCCAAGUUGGAGGUGAAAUCCCUGGGCUCAACCCGGGAACUGCCUCCAAAACUGGAUCACUCGAGUCCGAGAGAGGUGAGUGGAAUUUCCAGUGUAGAGGUGAAAUUCGUAGAUAUUGGAAAGAACACCAGUGGCGAAGGCGGCUCACUGGCUCGGUACUGACGCUGAGGUGCGACAGCGUGGGGAGC